rnacentral:rRNA from 1 species
AUACGUAGGGGACGAGCGUUGUCCGGAAUUACUGGGCGUAAAGGGCGCGCAGGCGGAUAUUUAAGUCAGCUGUAAAAGGCAUGAGCUCAACUCAUGUAUGCGGUUGAAACUGGGCAUCUAGAGUGCUGGAGAGGUAGGCGGAAUUCCCGGUGUAGCGGUGAAAUGCGUAGAUAUCAGGAAGAAUACCAGUGGCGAAGGCGGUUUGCGGGCUGCAUACUGACGCUGAAGCGCGAAAGCCAGGGGAGCAAACGGGAUUAGAUACCCCGGUAGUCCUGGCAGUAAGCGAUGUAUGCUGGGUGUGGGAGUAGCGAUACCUCCGUGCCGAAGUUAACGCGAUAAGCAUACCGCCUGGGGAGUACGGUCGCAAGAUUGAAACUUAAAGGAAUUGACGGGG